GCUGUGGCUCAGAGGUAGAGCAUCUGCCUUGCAUGUCGAAGGUCCCAGGUUCAAUUCCCCAAUCGGCAUCUCCA